AGAAUCAACGCUGGCGGCGUGCCUAACACAUGCAAGUCGAACAAGAAAGUGGAGCAAUCCAUGAGUAAAGUGGCGCACGGGUGAGUAACACGUGACUAACCUACCCUUGAGUGGGGGAUAACCUAGAGAAAUCUGGGCUAAUACCGCAUAAUACCUUCGGGUCAAAGGAGCAAUUCGCUUAAGGAGGGGGUCGCGGCCGAUUAGUUAGUUGGCGGGGUAAUGGCCCACCAAGACUAUGAUCGGUAUCCGGCCUGAGAGGGCGCACGGACACACUGGAACUGAAACACGGUCCAGACUCCUACGGGAGGCAGCAGUGGGGAAUUUGCGCAAUGGGGGAAACCCUGACGCAGCAACGCCGCGUGGAGGAUGAAGUCCCUUGGGACGUAAACUCCUUUCGAUCGGGACGAUAAUGACGGUACCGAGAGAAGAAGCCCCGGCUAACUUCGUGCCAGCAGCCGC
rnacentral:rRNA from 1 species